UACGGGGGGGGCAAGCGUUGUUCGGAAUUACUGGGCGUAAAGGGCUCGUAGGUGGUCAACUAAGUCGGACGUGAAAUCCCUCGGCUUAACCAGGGAACUGCGUCCGAUACUGGAUGACUUGAAUCCGGGAGAGGGAUGCGGAAUUCCAGGUGUAGCGGUGAAAUGCGUAGAUAUCUGGAGGAACACCGGUGGCGAAGGCGGCAUCCUGGGCCGGUACUGACGCUGAGGAGCGAAAGCGUGGGGAGCAAACAGG
rnacentral:rRNA from 1 species